UUUUCUUUUUUCAAAUAAAUAAACGCAUCUCCGGCUUAGAAACCACAGUCGAACUUUCAAUAGACAGUACAUCGGAAGGAACUUACUCCAUUCUUACAAAUUUACCAAUUCACAAAAUGAAGCUAACAAUGUUAAUAAUCGCAUUCGUAGCCAUGUUCGCUACAACUUCCUCACAAGAGCAGUACUUCAGUACUUGUUCUCGCAUGUUUGACGGACCGUUUGGAUCUAAAAUAGCACAUGCAACAUGCAUUGUGAGCUGUAAAAUACAAAAUUGUGGUACCGGUUCCUGUGAAUAUCGUGGAAGGACUGUAUGCGUUUGCUCUCGAUGCAAUUGACAGAUAGAUACGAAGGUUUGAGGCGGGUCAAGCCUAGUUUGAGUUGACAGAAGUCUGGAUCGUUUUUUCCACCGGCUACCUCUUUGUUUAAUUUGCGCAA